rnacentral:rRNA from 1 species
GGCCAGCAUCGGUUUGGACGGUAGGAUAAUGACAUUGGAAUGUGGCACCACUUCNGUNGUNUGUUAUAGACUUUGUUGAUACUGCCUGUCUNGACCGAGGCUGCGUCUUUGACUAGGAUGCUGGCAUAAU